UACGAAGGGGGCAAGCGUUGUUCGGAAUUAUUGGGCGUAAAGAGCUCGUAGGCGGACUGUCACGUCUGCUGUGAAAAGCUGGGGCUUAACCCUGGCCUUGCAGUGGAUACUGCCAUGACUUGAGUUCGGUAGGGGAGUGUGGAAUUCCUGGUGGAGCGGUGAAAUGCGCAGAUAUCAGGAGGAACACCCGUAGCGAAGGCGGCACUCUGGGCCGAUACUGACGCUGAGGAGCGAAAGCGUGGGGAGCGAACAGG
rnacentral:rRNA from 1 species